rnacentral:rRNA from 1 species
UACAGAGGUGCCGAGCGUUAGGCGGAAUCACUGGGCUUAAAGCGUGUGUAGGCGGGCUGGCAAGUUCCUUGUGAAAUCCCACGGCUCAACCGUGGAACGGCUGGGUAUACUGCCUGUCUUGAGCCAAUUAGGGGCGAGCGGAACAGACGGUGGAGCGGUGAAAUGCGUAGAUAUCGUCUGGAACGCCGAAGGUGAAAACAGCUCGCUGGGGUUGUGCUGACGCUGAGACACGAAAGCCAGGGGAGCGAACGGG